GCUCAAUUUGUCACGAGUAGAUUUGUCAAUAAACAGUGAACAGUUACUGCAAGGUUUGUGUAAGUAAUAAUCUCAACAUAUACCACAAUGGCCUUACACGAAACAGCUAUAACCGGAUUUACACAGGGUAAGCUGUAUGAUGAAAACAGACCAUCUUAUACCGAUAAAGUUGUAGACACUAUCGCACAACAAAUAGAAGAUAUACACAGUCAAAGUAACAUAGAAUAUGAUGUGGUGGAACUGGGUGCCGGAACCGGAAAAUUUACAAAACUGAUUUGGCCAAAAUUAAAGAAUAAAUCCUAUUUGGCUACAGAACCAUCGGAAGGAUUUCUGGCAACACUCCAACAACAAUGCCCUGCGAUUAAAAAGAUACAAUGUACAGCCAGUGAUAUUCCUUUACCAGAUAAUUCAGUUAAAGCAGUUAUCUGUGCUCAAUGCUUUCAUUGGUUUUCUACACCUGAAAGUAUGGACGAAAUUAAACGAGUUAUGUGUCAAGAAGGAAAAUUGUUUUUACUAUGGAAUGUGAAGGACACGUCUGUAGAAUGGGUGGAUACUUUCAUUAAAAUAAUAAGACAGGAUCAACCACCAUCGCCUAAUCAUUAUACACUGAACUGGAAGGAAGAUAUUGAUAAUUAUUCUGGUUUCAAACUUCAACAACUUCUAGAACUGCCUGGUGUCGAGUUUGGUGGAUCUGUAGAUGAUUUGAUCAAGAAUGCACAAUCGGUGAGUGUAGUAGCUUCGAUGCCAAAGGAUGAACAAGAAAAGAAGAGUGAAAGAGUGCGACAAUAUCUGAUAGACACUCACCAUGAUAAGGAAUAUAUCCAAGUUCCGUUUAAAACAAUGUUAUGGGUAUAUUCUAAGGUAUAACUGUAUCAAUAAAGAUAUCAAUACAUUGUUAUCUAAUUGUUAUCAAUACAUUACAUCUGGUUAAUCCUUUGUAAUUGUUAUCCACUUGUAUAUUGUAUAUAAGGGUUUCUUAUUGAUUUUAAUGGUAUGCUGUUUAACUUUGAAUGUCUUCCGUCUGUUAAUUAGUUGAUUGUUAACUAUUUGUAUAUAACCUUCUGUAAACUGUUACAUUGUAUCAUUGCUUGAUAACAGUGAGAGUAUCCUCAUUGAAACGUUGCAGUUGUAAACCUAGUGAAUGUUAUCCAUUAAAGGACAAUAUUGGUGCCAGUCAUUAUCACAUAUGUGAUAGAACUGGUUAAACACGUUCCAAAUAUUAUUUUAUCACAGAGAUCACUGCUACGAUAGAUGAGUAAUCAAUGUUUCAACAAUAGGAAGUGACGAACGGAAAGGGAAAACACGAGUUAUCCCUAUAUUAUAACUGACUGAAUUGACGGGUGAUAACAGAUACAUGGGCGAAUUUCUGCUCACUAAUAAUUCCUUCGAAGACCAAAAGUUGUUGUAUGGGACUGUGAAAGGAUAUCUGACAAUUCAUAAACAAAAUUGACUGUCACUAGAUAAGAGAACAUGAAAGAAAAAUAGAAAAAGUCCGUGCAUUACCAUGUUUUUAUAAGUAAAGAAUGAAUAAACACCCGUGAAUGUACGACUGUUUCUAUUUUUCUCGUGUUCUCUUAUCUAAUGACAUUCAAUUACU